CUUGCCUGGCCUUCUUCAAACUCAGUUUGUGCCCAGGGUUAAUGUGACCAAAAGUCAGGGGUGAAGGUUGGAAGACCAGAGAACCAGAUGGACUUCUCCCGGGCACAGAUGAGCUCUGAAGAGUCCAGAGUGACCCCCAGCAAAGCAGGAACGGGCCGGCAUAACUGGAGUUUGUGAUCUCACAGUUAUCAACAGGCUUGACAACUGAGGAAAAGCGCCCCCUCCACUCUCCUCCACCCAACUCAGCAGAGGCUUUGAAAGGCACUCGGAGCUGGACUUUCCAGACCCUGAUGGCGAAGUGGGACUGUCCGGGAGCCAGCUGCACUUUUUGUGUCUAGAAUAAAAAUGAAGAGCCUGAUGUGGCAGCCGGACAGCCUCUCACCGGAA